rnacentral:ncRNA from 1 species
AUAAAUGCAGUGACAAGGAGGAGUACAUAGAUACCGGAAGCAAAGAGAGGAGAUGGAUGGUGGAAAUCUCCGUGACGGAUGUAUGGAAGUAGCCUUCGAGCAGUGGACCGAACCCGGGCAGUGAGCUCUGUACAGCUGCAGUAUACAGAGUGUUUCCGUACCUGGCAGUAGGCUCCAACGGUAUUCCCCCGUUACGGGAAGCGGUAUCGGAGUAUCCGGCGCGGCAGAGCGCGGAGAUGUUCCCGUACUGGCAGAGUGCAGAGAUGAGAGGUCUCUGAAUUUAGGUGGUAACACGGAUGGAUAUUCGCCCUAAGC